AUGCUCUCUAAAGUAUGGUAAGGAUAAGAUUAAUAGCUAUGUGUGUGUGUGCACAUGGAUAUACACUUUCGCACAGGAAGACAACCAUUAUUUUACGCAUCCACCGAUGAACUAUACUACGGCUAAAAACGAAAUUGCGAAACCGACAAUCGCCACUUGCUUUCGGACUGGCACAGGCGCUUGACGCUAAUUUGUUCGCUGAACUGCUACUCGGUACAGUUGCUAGUUUUAUAACCGACGCUUCGAGAACGUUCUCUUUUACGCGUUUUUUGUUGUUGUUGUAUUCAUUUGGAAUUUCGAAUAAACACCUGAAACCGCAUAGUCACGUGACAAAGGCUGUGCUGACCAACAAGCAUCCUAGAACUCACCUGCAGUCUGCAUAGAUAUUGUAUUACAACGUUCAAGGAACAAAAGAUGUCCCGUCGGCUUUUCAUUGUCAUCGCUCUUCUAGUAAUACUCAUCGCAGCAGCCUCUGCCCAGUAUCAGCAAUACGUCCUGAGCGAUCAAGUCAAGCAUAAUUUUCGUCAAAUUUCGAUUGAUCCGAACUAUCGAAACGUAGAUGCAGAAGCAAAAGCAUUGCUCCAGAAUCAUCCAACCAUCUUAGUUGGGCCGGGAAGGCCUCGGCCUCCACCGUAUACAAAACCGCAGGAUCUGAAUACGAAUUAAAGCGGUUGAGACAAAUGUCAUUUUCGCCCAAUUGUGACAGACAUGUCAUACAUAGGUAUAUCUUGUGCAACGCCGCUCGAGAAUUUAUGCGUCGAGUGACUAUUGUUUUAGUGACAAUCUCAACACCCGUGUCGACAGGAUGUUACAUCACAGAUAUUCAUCUAUGCGAAAUUAAAAAGACAAAGGUGAUUUUCAUCCAUGAAAACCUUUUUGUUAAGCAACAAUAAAACAUGAACAUCAGCGUAA